UGCGCUAUCAGAUGAGCCUAGGUCGGAUUAGCUAGUUGGUGGGGUAAUGGCUCACCAAGGCGACGACGGGUAGCCGGCCUGAGAGGGCGAUCGGCCACACUGGAACUGAGACACUGUCCAGACUCCUACGGGAGGCUGCAGUCGAGAAUCUUCCGCAAUGGGGGCAACCCUGACGGAGCGACGCCGCGUGCGGGACGAAGGCCUUCGGGUUGUAAACCGCUGUCGUAGGUUAAGAAAUGUCUUGUCGUGAAAGCGGCUUGACUUGACAAAGGCCUAAAAGGAAGCCACGGCUAACUUCGUGCCAGCAGCCGCGGUAAGACGAAGGUGGCAACCGUUGUUCGGAAUCACUGGGCAUAAAGAGCACGUAGGCGGGUCUUUAAGUCGGGUGUGAAAUCCCUCGGCCCAACCGAGGAACUGCGCCCGAUACUGAAGGCCUUGAGGGCAGGAGGGGAGUGUGGAAUUCCUGGUGGAGCGGUGAAAUGCGUUGAUAUCAGGAGGAACACCGGCGGCGAAGGCGACACUCUGGCCUGCUUCUGACGCUGAGGUGCGAAAGCUAGGGUAGCGAACGGGAUUAGAUACCCCGGUAGUCCUAGCCGUAAACGAUGAGCACUAGGUAGGGGGGAUCCCAAUGCCUCCCUGCUGGAGUUAAUAUUUUAAGUGCUCCGCCUGGGGAGUAUAGUCGCAAGGCUGAAACUCAAAGGAAUUGACGGGGGCUCACACAAGCG
rnacentral:rRNA from 1 species